rnacentral:rRNA from 1 species
AUGCCCAAUGCACCCAAAAUCUUCAGCCGCAAGCAAUGGCAGAUCCUUGGAGCAGUUUUAAUUCACAGUUCACAAGAGAUCAUCGGAAACUACUGCUUGCCAAACGACAAGGGACAAACUUUGAGCACUCCCAAGGACGUGAAUAUACUCAAGCCAAUAAGAAAAUGCCGAGGGAUCAGAGUACUAUAUGGCCUGCAAGUACAGAUGCGGCAUUCCAUGCGCGGGAGAUACGUGCCACAAGGGCCACGGUUAGUUAUGCAGCCGUUGAACUGCGUAAGCUUCUUGCUUGGGGUGGCCGUCCUAUCGGCCACCCUUGAGCCCUUCGUCGCCAUUGCGCACAGAGAGUUGCCGACGGCAACUGACAGCGAGAGAGGACCGGAAACCAGGCUGGAGCCCACCGUUGACAGAACCAUAACAGAUGAGGGAACCAGAAGCAAUGCACUGACAAGAGGAAAGAUGGUUCUUGGAGAUGCAGCCAUGGAGAAGACGGAUGAUAGAAGCACAGCAAGCUCAGGUGCAAAACAUCCUGUUGGACAAUGUGGGCAUGGAGGAGGGAAGGAUUUGAGUAUGGACUGUUAUUUUAGGGGUAGGAAACUUCAUCCAGGGGCUUACUUCGAUGGCCACAUACCCUUCACCGCUGAUUACCGUAGACCACGGAACCACCCGCCCAAGAACAACUAG